rnacentral:rRNA from 1 species
GACUACAGGGGUAUCUAAUCCCGUUCGCUCCCCACGCUUUCGCACAUGAGCGUCAGGCUAAUGCCAGGGUGCCGCUUUCGCCACUGAUGUUCCCCCCGAUAUCUACGCAUUCCACCACUACACCGGGAAUUCCACACCCCUCUCAUCGCCUCAAGCUCGACAGUUUCCAACGACCGCUCCCAGUUAAGCCGGGAGAUUUCACGUCAGACUUGUCAAGCCGCCUGCGUGCGCUUUACGCCCAAUAAAUCCGGAUAACGCUCGUCACCUACGUAUUACCGCGGCUGCUGGCACGUAGUUAGCCGUGACUUAUUCUCAGGGUACCGUCCUCACUCUUCCCCUGCAAAAGGAGUUUACAAUCCAAAGACCUUCAUCCUCCACGCGGCGUUGCUGGGUCAGACUUGCGUCCAUUGCCCAAUAUUCCUCACUGCAGCCUCCCGUAGG